UACGUAGGGUGCGAGCGUUGUCCGGAAUUAUUGGGCGUAAAGGGCUCGUAGGCGGUUUGUCGCGUCGGGAGUGAAAACACCGGGCUUAACUCGGUGCUUGCUUUCGAUACGGGCAGACUAGAGGUAUGCAGGGGAGAACGGAAUUCCUGGUGUAGCGGUGAAAUGCGCAGAUAUCAGGAGGAACACCGGUGGCGAAGGCGGUUCUCUGGGCAUUACCUGACGCUGAGGAGCGAAAGUGUGGGGAGCGAUCCGG
rnacentral:rRNA from 1 species